GACAGAGGGGGCAAGCGUUGCUCGGAAUUACUGGGCGUAAAGGGCGCGUAGGCGGGAUGGCAAGUCGGUCGUGAAACCCCUCGGCUCAACCGAGGAACGUCGAUCGAUACUGCUGUUCUUGAGGAUUGCAGAGGAGACUGGAAUUCCCGGUGUAGCGGUGAAAUGUGUAGAGAUCGGGAGGAACACCGGUGGCGAAGGCGGGUCUCUGGGCCGAUACUGACGCUGAGGAGCGAAAGCGUGGGGAGCGAGCAGG
rnacentral:rRNA from 1 species